rnacentral:rRNA from 1 species
GUGCCAGCCGCCGCGGUAAUACCGGCAGCCCGAGUGAUGGCCGAUCUUAUUGGGCCUAAAGCGUCCGUAGCUGGCCGCGCAAGUCCGUCGGGAAAUCCAUCAGCCCAACUGAUGGGCGUCCGGCGGAAACUGCACGGCUUGGGACCGGAAGGCUCGAAGGGUACGGCCGGGGUAGGAGUGAAAUCCUGUAAUCCCGUCCGGACCACCGAUGGCGAAAGCACUUCGAGAAAACGGAUCCGACAGUGAGGGACGAAAGCCAGGGUCUCCAACCGGAUUAGAAACCCCAGUAGUCC